AGUGAACGGUGGCGGCGUGGAUUAGGCAUGCAAGUCGAGCGAGAACCGUAGCAAUACGGGGACAGCGGCGAAAGGGACAGUAAUGUGUAGGUACCUACCUCCGGGUUCGGGAUAGCUGCGGGAAACUGCAGGUAAUACCGAAUAACGUCGCCGGACCAAAGGUGUGAUUCCCCCUGGAGAGGGGCCUGCAUCCUAUUAGCUUGUUGGCGGGGUAACGGCCCACCAAGGCGACGAUGGGUAGCGGGUGUGAGAGCACGACCCGCGUCAUUGGGACUGAGACACUGCCCAGACACCUACGGGUGGCUGCAGUCGUGAAUCUUCGGCAAUGGGCGCAAGCCUGACCGAGCGACGCCGCGUGCGGGAUGAAGGCCUUCGGGUUGUAAACCGCUGUCGUAGAGGAGGAAAUGCAGGGGGGUUCUCCCCUCUGUUUGACCUAUUCUAGGAGGAAGUACGGGCUAAGUUCGUGCCAGCCGCCGCGGUAA
rnacentral:rRNA from 1 species